rnacentral:rRNA from 1 species
ACGGCUCAGUAACACGUGGAUAAUCUGCCCUAAAGGUCAGGCAUAACACCGGGAAACUGGUGAUAAUUCCUGAUAUACCAUAGAUACUGGAAUGUUCUGUGGUCAAAAGCUCCGGCGCCUUAGGAUGAAUCUGCGGCCUAUCAGGUUGCAGUGGGUGUAACGUACCUACUAGCCGACGACGGGUACGGGUUGUGAGAGCAAGAGCCCGGAGAUGGAUUCUGAGACAUGAAUCCAGGCCCUACGGGGCGCAGCAGGCGCGAAAACUUUACAAUGCGGGGAACCGCGAUAAGGGGACACUGAGUGCCAGCAUACAAUGUUGGCUGUCCGCAUGUAUAAAUAGCAUGUGUUAGCAAGGGCCGGGCAAGACCGGUGCCAGCCGCCGCGGUAACACCGGCGGCCCGAGUGGUGGCCACUAUUAUUGGGUCUAAAGGGUCCGUAGCCGGUUUGAUCAGUCUUCCGGGAAAUCUGACAGCUCAACUGUUAGGCUUCCGGGGGAUACUGUCAGACUUGGGACCGGGAGAGGUAAGAGGUACUACAGGGGUAGGAGUGAAAUCUUGUAAUCCUUGUGGGACCACCAGUGGCGAAGGCGUCUUACCAGAACGGGUCCGACGGUGAGGGACGAAAGCUGGGGGCACGAACCGGAUUAGAUACCCGGGUAGUCCCAGCCGUAAACGAUGCUCGCUAGGUGUCUGGGAUGGUGCGACCGUUUCAGGUGCCGCAGGGAAGCCGUGAAGCGAGCCACCUGGGAAGUACGGCCGCAAGGCUGAAACUUAAAGGAAUUGGCGGGGGAG